UACGUAGGGUGCGAGCGUUAAUCGGAAUACUGGGCGUAAAGCGUGCGCAGGCGGUGAUGUAAGACAGAUGUGAAAUCCCGGGCUCAACCUGGGAACUGCAUUUGUGACUGCAUCGCUGGAGUGCGGCAGAGGGGGAUGGAAUUCCGCGUGUAGCAGUGAAAUGCGUAGAUAUGCGGAGGAACACCGAUGGCGAAGGCAAUCCCCUGGGCCUGCACUGACGCUCAUGCACGAAGCGUGGGAGCAAACAGG
rnacentral:rRNA from 1 species